rnacentral:rRNA from 1 species
UUUACCUACGGGACGCAGCAGUAGGGAAUUUUCGUCAAUGGGCGCAAGCCUGAACGAGCAAUGCCGCGUGAACGAGGAAGGUCUUCGGAUCGUAAAGUUCUGUUGAAGGGGAAAAAGAGCGGAGAGAGGAAAUGGUCUCCGAUUGAUAUUACCCUUCGAGGAAGUCACGGCUAACUACGUGCCAGCAGCCGCGGUAAUACGUCGGUGGCGAGCGUUAUCCGGAAUGAUUGGGCGUAAAGGGUGCGUAGGCGGAAGGUUAAGUCAGCGGUCAAAUGUCGG